rnacentral:rRNA from 1 species
UACGUAGGGUGCGAGCGUUAAUCGGAAUUACUGGGCGUAAAGCGUGCGCAGGCGGUUUUGUAAGACUGUCGUGAAAUCCCCGGGCUCAACCUGGGAAUGGCGAUGGUGACUGCAAGGCUAGAGUUUGGCAGAGGGGGGUAGAAUUCCACGUGUAGCGGUGAAAUGCGUAGAGAUGUGGAGGAACACCAGUGGCGAAGGCGGGUAGCUGGGCCGACACUGACGCUGAGGCGCGAAAGCCAGGGGAGCGAACGGG